GUGGGGAAUCUUGCGCAAUGGGCGAAAGCCUGACGCAGCCAUGCCGCGUGAAUGAUGAAGGUCUUAGGAUUGUAAAAUUCUUUCACCGGGGACGAUAAUGACGGAACCCGGAGAAGAAGCUCCGGCUAACUUCGUGCCAGCAGCCGCGGUAAUACGAAGGGGGCUAGCGUUGCUCGGAAUUACUGGGCGUAAAGGGCGCGUAGGCGGACAGCUUAGUCAGAGGUGAAAGCCCAGGGCUCAAGCUUGGAAGUGCAUUUGAUACUGGCUGUCUUGAGUUUGGGAGAGGUGAGUGGAACUCCGGGUGUAGAGGUGAAAUUCGUAGAUAUUCGGAAGAACACCAGUGGCGAAGGCGACUCACUGGCCCAAUACUGACGCUGAGGCGCGAAAGCGUGGGGAGCAAACAGGAUUAGAUACCCGGGUAGUCC
rnacentral:rRNA from 1 species